CGGGCGCAGUGGCACAUGCCUGUAGUCCCCGCUACUCGGGAGACUGAGGUGCGAGGAUCACUUGAGGCCAGGAGUUCUGGGCUGUAGUGCGCUAUGCUAAUCGGGUGUCCGCACUAAAUUCGGCAUCAAUAUGGUGACCUCCCCGGAGCGGGAGACCACCAGGUUGAAUAGGAGGGGUGAACCGGCCCAGGUCGGAAACGGAGCAGGUCAAAACUCCCGUGCUGAUCAGUAGUGGGAUCGCACCUGUGAAUAGCCACUGCACUCCAGCCCAGGCAACAUAGCGAGACCCCAUCUCC
rnacentral:SRP_RNA from 1 species